rnacentral:lncRNA from 1 species
CUCAGCUGACUACAACCUCUGCCUCCCAGGCUCAAGCGAUUCUCCUGCCUCAGCCUCCCAAGUAGCUGGGAUUACAGGCACAUGUCACCACGCCUGGCUAAUUUUUGCAUUUUUAGCAGAGACGGGGUUUCACCAUGUUGGCCAGGAUGGUCUCGAUCUCUUGACCUCAUGAUCCGCCCACCUCGGCCUCCUGAAGUGGUGGGAUUACAGGUGUGAGCCACUGCACCUGGCCACAAAUGUUCAUUUCAUACCAAGAAAGUGACUUGGAGAAUGCUGACACUUAUCCAGACGAUUCUGGAAGCAAAAACCACACUUACUCUUAAGGAAGGUAAUCUUUAGGUGAUUGGGGUUCUGAAUUUUCCAGAUAAUUUGCAUAAAUUAGAAAACUGUUAAAUGAGGUAUGUUACUUUUUAAAUACAGACUGAGGUUUCUUUUUUCCUUUAAAAAUGACAUUCAAUAGGCACUUACUCUUGAUGUUUUAAACUUGUAAUUUAUUCAUACAAGAUUCCAAAAAUAGUUACAGUUCCAAAUAUUGCUAUUCAUUUGAUUUAUGCAUAUAGCCUACUAAACUUUAAAAAUUUAGCUAAAUGUAUAUUUGAUAUUUCAUAUUUUUUCAAUUCUUCCUCCUCUAAGGACUUGAAAUUUAAAAAAAAUAAAAGAAUUAAAGGUAUUUAACUGUAAAAAUAUUCUGUUUACUCAUUUAUUCAUUCAACAAAUAUUUAUUGAGCUUCUGUUAUGUGCUAUGUGCUGGGAAACCAUUAAGAACAUGGCAUCUACCUUUGUGAAACUUGCAGAUUACUGGGGAAGACAGCGUCUGAAUAAUUUCAAUGUAGGGUAACACAUAAGCUAGUUUGGGUUUCAGAAAUGGCCUUCUGUGAAAGUAAUUUCUAAUCUGUAGUAGAGACAUUAGGUGCCCAGAAGUGGAUGGAGGGAGUCCAGUUAGGAGACUCUUGUGGAAGGCUAAGAAAAGGUUACAAAGUGGACUGCAGGGUGAAAAUAUUGGAACUUCUGUUUAGGUUACUAGGUUGAUGGUGGCCCCCUUCAGCCUGUACAUCAGAUGGCUCCCUGUCACUUACAGUACUCAAGGUGUCUUGAAAAAGACACAAAGGAAUACAGUCGUGCCCUCACUGAUUUGUUCUCUUUGGCAGAUUUCAAUGUAUUACAGUUCUGUGUGCUUAGUUGAGGGAAUUUAUAAAUUAUAUUAUCUAGUUUAGUGUGUCUUCCCAAAUAGACAAGUAGAGUUAAAAGAUUCCUCUAAACUUCAGAUUUAAAAAAUAAUAAUAACAUGAGCAUAAAGAAAGAAGAAAAAGUAGAACUGACACUUCCAGUCCUAAUAAGAGCUCUUUUGUCAGCCACAAUGUCAGGUAUAGCAAUGGCCCUCUAACUGUGGAAAAGAAUCUGUCAAAACAAAUUCAGAAUUAUGAAGUAGGUUUCAUGGGUUCACAUUCAUAAUUAUUAAGGAUGACCUUCAUUUAAG